rnacentral:lncRNA from 1 species
GCCAUAAUAGCGGAGCAUUCGGAUUGAGACAGGUGCCCCGUCUUUUUGAAACUCCCGCCAGAAUUUUGGCGGGAAAUAUCACAGUAUGUUACCUAAUAAGCAAAUCAAAAUAGCACUAGCAAUGCAAAUCUUGGUCACGACGAUUUCUAUCAAUGCAUCUUAAUUAGUGUUAUUUAUUAGAGGAUUUAUUUGCAUUAUUGUACAAGAAAUUGAAAACACUAUAUCGAGUCUGGGCUGAAGUAUUUAAUCAACGGAUUUUUCUCAAGUAACACGUGGCUUACUGUUUGUAGUAAAAAUUGGGAUCUUGCAAGAGUGCUCGUAAACAAACAAAACCAUUCUUGUCUUGUCUUGGCUGGUGUCUGGAACUUGAACUGCAUCAUUUUAUAUUUUUGGUUUUUCAUGUUAUAAUUUCAAGACAAGUCUUAAUUUCGUGUAACUUUAUUGCUGCUUUGUUUACAGUUCGCCGUGUCACGUGCCAAGCCACUUUGCAACCAACAAAAAAUUUCAAUUUGUCAGAAAACAUGUCGGAAAAAAUGACAGAAAACAAGUCCGAAGGAAAACCAAAUAAGGUAAGUAAUCAUUUUACUUAGCUUUCCUUCGUAGAAGUAAUGAAAUGAAUAAUCACUCAUUAAACUCAGACUAUUCUAACAGCUGUGUAAGACUUUAAAACCACCCAAGUAGCACAGAUUGCAAUAAGUAGCAAUUACAUGAUAAAAUUAUUACAAUUUCACUGAGUGUUGUGUAUUUUGCCUAGCUCCUAUUUGAAGAGGCCCCAUUUAUUGAAACUUAUUGCAAUAAAAUUGAAAUAAGUCACAAUUUCACAUUGUAACUUUUGCGUAUUGCCUAUAUUUCUGACACAUGGAGCUCAUUUUGUUGAUUGUUUAAAAUUGGCACAAAUCGACUAAAUGGUGUGUAAAUAUUGCAAUUUAAUGGUAAAAAAAUUAAAAUUUUAUUGAAAUCACAUUGCAAUUUCAUUUCAAUAUUUUCGUUGCACUGUGCUACUUGGGCAGUAGGUAUCAUCAGGGUGUCUUCAGCUCAUAUUAUCAUAUUAAGCCACAUUAGGUAUAUACCUUAUUUUCAUUUGGGUCUUAAGUAAAAGUAUAGUUUUGAAAAGUAUGUAAAAUUUUCUAAUUUUUGUUUUAUUGCUCAAUUUUUUGGGGCUUAAUUCUUGCUCUCGUAGCCAACUUACACAAGUAUGUGUUAUUGCGAUCCUUCAAUUCCCUGCAUGCUAUUUCUUAAUAGGGACUGAAAGCAGUUUUAUUAGCCUUUCA